rnacentral:rRNA from 1 species
UGGGGAAUAUUGCACAAUGGGCGCAAGCCUGAUGCAGCCAUGCCGCGUGUGUGAAGAAGGCCUUCGGGUUGUAAAGUACUUUCAGUCGGGAGGAAGGUGGUAAGGUUAAUAACCUUGGCAAUUGACGUUACCGACAGAAGAAGCACCGGCUAACUCCGUGCCAGCAGCCGCGGUAAUACGGAGGGUGCAAGCGUUAAUCGGAAUUACUGGGCGUAAAGCGCACGCAGGCGGUCUGUCAAGUCGGAUGUGAAAUCCCCGGGCUCAACCUGGGAACUGCAUUCGAAACUGGCAGGCUAGAGUCUUGUAGAGGGGGGUAGAAUUCCAGGUGUAGCGGUGAAAUGCGUAGAGAUCUGGAGGAAUACCGGUGGCGAAGGCGGCCCCCUGGACAAAGACUGACGCUCAGGUGCGAAAGCGUGGGGAGCAAACAGG